GUGUCAGCCGCCGCGGUAAUACGGAGGGCGCAAGCGUUGUUCGGAAUCAUUGGGCGUAAAGCGCGUGUAGGUGGCUUGGCAAGUCGGGUGUGAAAUCCCGGGGCUCAACCCCGGAACUGCAUUCGAUACUGCCUCGCUAGAGUCCCGGAGAGGAGGGCGGAAUUCCCGGUGUAGAGGUGAAAUUCGUAGAUAUCGGGAGGAACACCAGUGGCGAAGGCGGCCCUCUGGACGGUGACUGACACUGAGAUGCGAAAGCGUGGGGAGCAAACAGGAUUAGAAACCCUCGUAGUCC
rnacentral:rRNA from 1 species